rnacentral:lncRNA from 1 species
GUGGUUUAGGAGGUACAAUAAGGAUAAUCUUAUCUGGAUGUGGUUUAUGAGGUAAAAUAAGGAUCAUCCAUUUCUGAUGUGGUUUAAGAGGUACAAUAAGGAUCAUCCUAUUCUGAUGUGGUUUAGGUGGUACACUAAGAUCAUCCUAUUCUGGUAUGGUUUAGGAGGUACAAUAAGGAUAAUCUUAUUCGGAUGUGGUUUAGGAGGUACAAUAAGGAUAAUCUUAUUUAGAUGUGGUUUAGG